GAAGGAGCUCGCCGGCGAGGUGCGGAGGACGAUCUCGUGGUGACUCGCCCGGGCUUCUGCUGCCACCGUCGUCUUCACCGACCACGUCCGCGAGCUGCUGCCGGAGAAGGCCGUUGAGAUCAUCUUCCUUAACCUGGCCCUGGUUCAAGGAGCUCGCCGGCGAGGCCCGGGGGACGAGCUCGUGGUGACUCGCCUGGGCUUCUGCUGCCAUCGUCGUCUCCAACGACCACGUCCGCAAGCUGCUGCCAGAGAAGGCCGUUGAGUUCAUCUUCGUCAACCUGGUGCUGGUGCAACCGCACGUAUACAACACCCGCAGAUCUGCUUAGCUAAAGCAGUUGCCGGCGCCUCUCCUGUUGCAGGGAGAUGAUUUAGUUACGCCUCCCUCCACGUUGGUGCAUUUGACGAUUCACUGCAUGAUACAUGGGGAUGUUCUUUGCCUAGCCAAAUCGAAUGUGUGGCUGCCUCCUUCGACUGGAACGACUACUACAUCACCGCGUCCCCCAUCGGCAAGCCAUAGAAGGUCAACUUUAUGCUUUUUUUCUGUUUCGAAGUUUAAAUAAGUACGAUGCAGCAGCGAUUGAAACAUAUGCAUUGAUCUCUAUUGUUGUUGUGUGAGGCAAUACCUUGUUCUGUUUCUGGCUGAUUGCACUUCUUGAACCUUGCAAUAUUUAAGUGCUUAUGUCUAGCUCAAGAGUCAAAUAUAUCUGUUUCACUAGAUGAAUGUUGUUUGCUGGAAUUGUAGGCUCGAAGUGUUAAUUUUGUCACUAUUUGAUUCAACAGUAUGCCAUUCUGAUUUGCUGAAAAUUCUUUCUUCUCUUUGAUAUAUGCAUAGUUGACGUUGCAAACUUGUAACUAGUGCUGUUCUAGGAUGAAAUUCUACAGUUGAGUGCUAUUUUGGCUAGUCAGUAUUUACUAGUGGUAUUCUGGAACUCUACGGUCUGUUUGUGUCCAGUUGUAAUUGUUCUUCUACCUGCUAUCAUCUCACUCAUGUUUUCAGUGCAGCGAGGAUUCUUUGCUCAAAGGAAGAGUUACCCAUCCAUGGCGAUGAGGCAUAAGAGUUGUCCCUCCAGUUCGCCUGCCCCCUGCCUUAUAGCUAGAUCAGGAUAUUGAAAAGGAGGAGUAGAUGGCAGCCAAGGUAGCAGCUGGCAUCUAUUAGGUUGAUCAUAUAAAAUUUGCAGAUUCUUGUGGUGGUAGCAGGGUGAGGAGGCGCCUCCUUUUGGAGGUGUCCAACAUCAAAAUUUGAUUCCUCUAUCUGUUUAUCUUGUUUGUUUGGUGGCUGUAAUGGAAGAUAAAUUGCAUGGUUAUGUUGCUGCCUAGGAUGCUUGAAUCCUCCUUGAUGUGUUUUGACUGGUAAUUAAUCCUGGAUGUAUCUCCUCCGCUAAAUGAUGUAAGAGUUUGCAGUUGGAUGCUGAAAUCGAAGCAUAUGUGUUCAUUUUGCUGUAUGUAAUGGCUCCUCCAGCUUGCUUGGUUGUAAGA